ACUGUAUGGAGAGGUAGAUUAGCGGUACCAAAAAUAACAACAACCAUAAAGCUUUUCUUCAUGUUUUACGUCACUAUUUGACAUUCUGCAAUAUUGUUAUUAUCAAUAUCCUGAUUUUGAAUUUAUUGAAGUUGGUCACCUUAAGUUUAGCAGUUCAUUUGAGGGGUACUUCUUAUAGAAGGGUUAAGUUCUACAAAUUUCCAAAGUACGACGAAAAUAAGUCUCCCUGUUCUUUUUUGGGUUUGCAAAGUUUUCCCGAUUUUCUGAAUUAACCAAUAAAUGUAUUUUUUGAUGAAAUGUUGGGGGCGGCCAAAAAUUAAAUAUCUUGGGGCGGUAAUGAACCUAUAAAUAUGUUUUCAAGUUAUCACCACAAAGAGAUUAUUUUUGUUUCGCUGUUAGCGUGAGGACAAUAAUUCUUUUUUUAAAGAACAAAAUUAACUUUCCAAUGGUAAAGAACUAAUGAACAUAGGCGAAUAUGGCCAAUACUUCCAAAGUUAUUGGCGGAUACUUACACUAAAAAUCGAUUAAAAUCUCGACAAAAAUCGAAAAAAUCAAAAACUUUUUUUACACUUUCUAAAAGUCCCAGAGGCAUAAAAAAUGUACAAAAUGUUCCUAGACCGUCUGUUUUUAAUUCUCAAGUUGGGAUUUUUUUUAUUUAAACUAACAGAACUUAUAAAUCUCCAAUUAACAAUAUUUUUAAGGUACAACGUGGAGUUUGGUAGACCUUCUCGACUUCAUCGUUUACAACCUCCCCGCAUAUCUAAUUUACGUGUGUUCGAUUCACUGGAUUUCAAACAUUGCGAUAAUUCGCCUCCAGUUCAAAACCCUCAACAAAAUUCUCAAAAUAUUGCGUUACCAACAACCCUGGCUCACCGAAACUUAUCGUUUGCGCAAAAAGAAAUCAAUAUCUGGCAGAAUUUUGAUUCGUGAAUGUGGCACAUUUUACGACACUUUGUGCAUCCAAAGUGGAAAAAUAAACGAUGCAUUUGCCGCCCAAAUCCUACUCUUCAUUGCAAUGUUGCUUUUGUUGAUAAUUUUCGAUUCAUUUCAAACUUGUCGGAUGAUUCAGAAUUUAACACAAUUUGAUUGUGGAACUGUUAUUUACAAUAUUAUGUAUUUUGAGACCUUGAUGGAGCUGGUUUUGACGUGUAUUUCAAUCGAGUUCGAAGCGGCCCGAUUUGCCGAUAAUUUGCACAAAAUCAAUAAUGACGAAAUUGAAGAUGUGGUCAAUUUAUUGAUUCUGCAGAGUUAUCACCAAAGGGUUCAGUUCUCAAUCUGCGGUAUCUUCACUCUUGGUGGAAAAUUUAUUUAUUCGAUAUUUGGCGCACUGACCACUUUUCUUAUCAUGUUGCUACAAUUUGAAAUGUAAUUGUAAUAAAAUUAAUAUUUGUUUUUGUGGGCGAAAGCGUUAUGGUGCGCUACCGAACAACCACAAAACAUUUUUUCAAUGACCAACUUUCCAUCCGAUCGGAAGAAAAUGAAAGUUACUUUUUACUCAAUUGUUAAAAUAUAUAAAGAAUUCUCACUUAAAUUCUGUCAACACACUUCAAUCUCAACUGUACCAAAAUGAAUUACAAAAUCUUUAACGUUUUCGCUGUUUUAUUUGCCCUCGUUGCUGCAGCUCUGGCGGCCGUUGUCCCGGUGGAAAAUGUUGCCGAAGCUAGUGAUUAUCGUUUGAAAAGAGACCAUGGACACGGAGUAACCGGACCAGUGCACACUUAUGUGAAAACAGACAAGCAUGCCAACUUUAAAUGGGGUGUCAAGCACCACGUAGGACACCAUUACGCCGGUCGUCGCUAAAAAUCAUAUUUUUGUCCCCCUUUUGUACUUGUAAAUAAAAUACGUUUAAAAUC